AUACGUAGGGUGCGAGCGUUGUCCGGAAUUACUGGGCGUAAAGAGCUCGUAGGUGGUUUGUCGCGUCGUCUGUGAAAUUCCGGGGCUUAACUCCGGGCGUGCAGGCGAUACGGGCAUAACUUGAGUACUGUAGGGGAGACUGGAAUUCCUGGUGUAGCGGUGAAAUGCGCAGAUAUCAGGAGGAACACCGGUGGCGAAGGCGGGUUUCUGGGCAGUAACUGACGCUGAGGAUGGAAAGCAUGGGUAGCGAACAGGAUUAGAUACCUUGGUAGUCCAUGCCGUAAACGGUGGGCGCUAGGUGUAGGGGUCUUCCACGACUUCUGUGCCGUAGCUAACGCAUUAAGCGCCCCGCCUGGGGAGUACGGUCGCAAGGCUAAAACUCAAAGGAAUUGACGGGG
rnacentral:rRNA from 1 species